UCUAACCUGAGAACCUAUUACCACCACCCAGUGUCCUCAGAAGUCAUGAUAGUCAUCAUGAUGCAGCUAGAGUUAUAAGGACCAGAGUUUGACUCCCAGCCUUUGAAAACGAUGUUCCUUGGGGGUAGGAGCAUGCUCUCACCCUUGUCUUCUAUCUCUCUCAUCCUUUAAGACUCAGUUCAGAACUUGACUCUUCAGGCGGAGGCUUCUCUGAGUCCUGAAGCUGGCUGCCUCACUCACAGCUUUCUCUGCAACGGGUGCCUCCACAAUUGUGAUAGAGAAUGACAUGCCCCAGCAUAAUGCCUCAACCCAAGUGUCAACCUGCCCUUGACAGAGAAGAGAACCCCAAAUGAAUCUCCCAAGCAACACAAGCUGACCC
rnacentral:lncRNA from 1 species